GCGCUCGUAGCUCAGCUGGAUAGAGCACCAGACUACGAAUCUGGGGGUCAGGAGUUCGAAUCUCUUCGAGCGCACCA
rnacentral:tRNA from 3 species